CAGAGAUUAGAAAUUAUAUGCAUAUUAUAUGGAUUUUGCAAAGAACUGAAUUUAAAUAAAGAAUUUUACAAGCUAUCAACAAGGAGUUCUGGGCAGGUGGUAAAUGGAAGAAUGAAGAUCAUUCAAUUGGAAAAAGAGGAAGAAGAAGAAGAAGAGGAAGAGGAAGAAAACACUGGAAGGGAAUUAACAAAAUGGCCAGGAUCAGCAGCAGGCAGAGGAAUUGCUUUGGAACACAGCCACUUCUAGAACUCUUCGGAUCAAAAUUAAUAAGAUAUGCACAGAAGAGCUGGGAACUGCCUGCUGUGGAGGAUGAAGACCCAAGUGUGAUCACCCAGAACCCGUAGAAGAACACUAAGAAUACGGGCACACUUAUACACGGGCACACUCACACACCACACACCCAUACAACUGGCACACACACACACACUGCCCACUCACACAUUGGCACAUACAUGAUCCCACAUAAUGGCUGGAGCAGGGGAGGGAGAAUCCUGGGGCUCAUGGACUGCGUAGUCUGGUUGAGUCAGCGAGGUUGCAGAUCCAGUGAGAGACCACGGCUCAAAAAACAAGGUGGGGACCAACUGAGGAAGGCACCUAGCGUCAGCCUCUGGCCUUCACACAGACAUGCUUCCCCAUGUGCCCGUGUACCUGCACAUAGCUGUGCACACGCAGGAGCACACAGCAACACACGCAGCAAAGAAACGCACAGAAGACUAAAAUUAAAGCAAGUGUUGGGAAAGCCCGAGGCCGCAGCGUGAGCAGGAGCGGUGUGUUCUGAUGAAGGCCUGGAACGGUACACGUUCAGUGGCAUGUGUUCUGAGCACCUGUUAUGGCAUUCUGAGGGUGAUCCAUCUUAUUGGAAAAGUUUAAUUAAAGCACAAUUCUUA